GGGUCGCGUCCUAUCAGCUUGAUGGCGGGGUAACGGCCCACCAGGGCUUCGACGGGUAGCCGGCCUGAGAGGGCGACCGGCCACAUUGGGACUGAGAUACGGCCCAGACUCCUACGGGAGGCAGCAGUGGGGAAUAUUGCACAAUGCGCGCAAGCCUGAUGCAGCGACGCCGCGUGCGGCAUGACGGCCUUCGGGUUGUAAACCGCUUUUGACUGGGAGCAAGCCCUUCGGGGUGAGUGUACCUUUCGAAUAAGCACCGGCUAACUACGUGCCAGCAGCCGCGGUAAUACGUAGGGUGCAAGCGUUAUCCGGAAUUAUUGGGCGUAAAGGGCUCGUAGGCGGUUCGUCGCGUCCGGUGUGAAAGUCCAUCGCUUAACGGUGGAUCCGCGCCGGGUACGGGCGGG
rnacentral:rRNA from 1 species